CAUUCCAAUAGCCCGCCCCCGGCAUGGCGCCUAUGAACUCAUGGCCUUUUCUAUGCUAGGUAAAGGCUCUACCACUAAGAUACAUCCACAGCCCCACUACAGAUUGCUUUUCGAUCCAGCCACUCAUAUUUCAGUGAUCUUCAGAUGGGGGAAGAAAGUGGGACAGUCUAUGCCAUGGGAUAAUCACAUCCUGGCUUUGGUGCUUGCAUAGAAAGAGAUACAAUAUGAACUCAACUGUCUCCAAAGGAAACAUCAAGGGCGUCAUGUCAGACCAUUCUCUGCCUGAGUUUGUUUGAACUACAUGGAUGCGCAUGUGACUUAUCAGGAUAGUGUCUGCAGACCAGAUUCAAAAGGCUUCAGUUUCCCAUUCAACUCAAAUUGCAGGAACACCUGCAAAAUGGAAGGGCAUGCAAGAGCAGUGAUUGAGAAAACUGUUUAUAAGAACUAAGACCAUUCUCCUACAAGAAGCUCAGAUAUUUUUCUGGACUUAAAAUGAAUCUUCUGGGAUAAUGUUUUGAUAAGUUGAGUGGCUGUGAAUUAGGACCAUGUGGGAAUAUCUUUUCUGUAAAAGGGACUGGGAUGCUUAAAUAUAAUGGAAAAAAGGUGCUCGGGACAGAUGCAUUUCAAACUUUGACUGACUCACAACUUGGAGCAUCGCAUAAACAGAAACACUGUUGCUACCCACCUUAUCCUCGGUGACUAGAGUGAUCUCUCCCACAUGCCACUUUGCUCAGGGACACAUGAGGAAAACACACCUUUUGUGUUGUCAGAAAAACCGAGUGUGACAUGUUUCACCCCUUAGGUGACAGAGCCGUUUGCUCCUGCCGUUGUAUCCAUUUACAUUCUUGCUGAAUGUCUAA